GAACGUGCCCCAAAGUGAGGAAUAACUGCCCGAAAGGGUGGCUAAUGCCGCAUAUGAUCUUCGGAUUAAAGUAUUUCUACGCUUUGGGAGCGGCCCGCGUCGGAUUAGGUAGUUGGUAGGGUAAUGGCCUACCAAGCCGACGAUCCGUAGCUGGUCUUAGAGGAUGAUCAGCCAGACUGGAACUGAGACACGGUCCAGACUCCUACGGGAGGCAGCAGUGAGGAAUCUUCCACAAUGGGGCGAAAGCCUGAUGGAGCAACGCCGCGUGCAGGAUGAAGGCCUUCGGGGUUGUAAACUGCUUUUAUAAGUGAAGAAUAUGACGGUAACUUAUGAAUAAGCACCGGCUAACUACGUGCCAGCAGCCGCGGUCAUACGUAGGGUGCAAGCAUUAUCCGGAGUGACUGGGCGUAAAGAGUUGCGUAGGUGGUUUGUUAAGCAGGUAGUGAAAUCUGACGGCUCAACCGUACAGGCUAUUACCUGAACUGGCAAACUCGAGAAUGGUAGAGGUAACUGGAAUUUCUAGUGUAGGAGUGGAAUCCGUAGAUAUUAGAAGGAACACCAAUGGCGUAGGCAGGUUACUGGACCAUUUCUGACACUAAGGCACGAAAGCGUGGGGAGCG
rnacentral:rRNA from 1 species